AUUAAAAGAUAAUCAGUUUGAGAAAACGUUUGAUAAGUCAUGGCAUGCGCAUCCGUUGUUAGUCAACGCUUAUCUAUUAAUCAUUUCAAAUCCCUUCAUAUUUUUCGAAACAGAAGACGUUUAUGUGUAGCUAAGGUUUUAUUUUGGAAAAUGAUUGUUGUUUCCUCUUUUUAAAAAACUAAGAAAACAAUUGGCUUCCAAUGACAUGUAAUGUCGCUUUGAAUAUGGACUAGAAAAAAAACUGCAAUUUCCAAAAGCAUAAAACAUUGUGAUUGUAACCCAUUAACUCUUUGCUGAUAGACCCGUGCUGGAGGAAUGUUUCUCUAUUUUGUUGUUUUCGCCAUUCUUUGGAUGCCAGUAACUCUACAAUCGGUUAAGAAGCGAUCUUUUUUAGCAAAACCGAGCUGUGACGAUAGAAUCUCAAACAUAGAGUUUGUAGCAGAACAUCAGGCUCCAUCGCGCUGUUCAUGCGCUGCUAUGUGUGACAUUAACUGUGGAUGUUUUGGGUUCAAUUCACUGGUAGAAAAAUGUCGGAUACAUCGGUCAUGUGACCUCGUGAACUUGUCCUCAACUGAAGAUGGCUGGAAAUAUUACCAAAUUAACCCGCCCCCAGACUGUCAGGGUGUCAUGGAGUCCGGAGAGAGCACUUCAGGAUUAUACGUCAUUGAUCCUUUUGGGGGCCGACAGCGGCUGGUAACUGUCUACUGUGAUAUGGAUACAGACAAUGGGGGCUGGACGGCCAUUCAGCGCCGCCUGAGUGGUACCAUGGACUUUAACAAAACUUGGACGGAAUACAAGAACGGCUUUGGCGAUCCCCCAAACGCUUACUGGAUUGGAAACGACGUCAUUCAUCAUCUAACAAAUCGGCAGCCGCAUUUCUUGUAUGUGUUUUUCAAAUUCAACAAUGGAAGCAUAUUUCACCAGAAAUACGAAAACUUUUCCAUUGGUGACGAAUCUACAAACUACCAGCUUCACCUAGGAGGACCAAACACCGGAAAUCUAGGAGACAGUAUGAUCAAUGCUGGCCACACUGGCGGCAAUGUGAACGGUGCGUCUUUCAGUACCGUGGACCGAGACAACGAUCAGUGGAACAGUGGUAACUGUGCCGUAAAGUAUAAAGGAGGAUGGUGGUUCAAUGACUGUCAUGACGCCUUCCUUAACGGACCCUGGCCCCCGGAACAUUGACUUCACGUUAUAACAGAUCUGGUGUUUUGCGAAGAAAGUCGUUGGUUUGCAGUACAUUUGAUAGAAACUCUACGUGAUUACAGUUUAAAUUAUAGUGUAAAGAUUCAUAUAAAAUGGAAUUUAUAAUUGUGCAGUAGUGUGUUUGUGUUGUUGUUUUUUAUCCUUUUUAUUUGGUAUUUCCUAUUUUUCAUGUCAUUCUUUAUAAAAAGAAAACAAAAUUGUUCAUGUCACCAAAUUGUGUUGUUAUAAUGUUUUAUAGCUUUGUUUUGAUUUUCUCUUAUUUGUAAAAACAAAAAAAAAUUAAAAUGAUCGCAUUUUCAGAUGACU
rnacentral:misc_RNA from 1 species